CCAGAUUUACAGACAAAAUCACAUACUGCGAACAGGUCACUGACAGAGAAGCCUUUUCGAUUUUUAAAAGCGACCUCAACAUGAACACUUUGUUUUGGAGGGAAGUGCGCAGCAAGAAUCCUGCCACCUAUGACAAACUGGUGAAAAUUAUGAGAGUGGAAAUCGUCAGUGAAGAAAUGAUUGAUCACCGAAACCACGCCGCGUAGGGACUCUCUUCGCCUCAGAGGCAAGUAGGUCGAGGACCCGUAGCGCACCUUGUCACUCAACAAUGGACUCAAGCAGGUCACACAAUAGC
rnacentral:lncRNA from 1 species